UAGGGAAUCUUCGGCAAUGGACGAAAGUCUGACCGAGCAACGCCGCGUGAGUGAAGAAGGUUUUCGGAUCGUAAAACUCUGUUGUUAGAGAAGAACAAGGACGUUAGUAACUGAACGUCCCCUGACGGUAUCUAACCAGAAAGCCACGGCUAACUACGUGCCAGCAGCCGCGGUAAUACGUAGGUGGCAAGCGUUGUCCGGAUUUAUUGGGCGUAAAGCGAGCGCAGGCGGUUUCUUAAGUCUGAUGCGAAAGCCCCCGGCUCAACCGGGGAGGGUCAUUGGAAACUGGGAGACUUGAGUGCAGAAGAGGAGAGUGGAAUUCCAGGUGUAGCGGUGAAAUGCGUAGAUAUAUGGAGGAACACCAGUGGCGAAGGCGGCUCUCUGGUCUGUAACUGACGCUGAGGCUCGAAAGCGUGGGGAGCAAACAGG
rnacentral:rRNA from 1 species